AGCUCUGGGCAUUCCGGAGGGACUUCAGAGUCACAGAGAGCCUUGGACUUCGUACUCAAACAAACCAACUCUGAAAAGACAGGAGACAACCAGGGAAAUUUCAACACUGCUAGCAGAUUAUCACAAAGAAUUCAAGGGUCGUGUUUUAGGUGUGAUAACGGUAGCACAGUUAUUUUUUUUGGAAGAGUCCCUAUUCUGUACAGCCACGCACUGAGGCAAGAGCACAAGGAAACAAGCAGAAGGAAUUCAGAGAAACAGCUCCAGGCUCCAGCUCAAAGGCCGACACCAAAAGCGAACACCUCUGGGCGCUCUUGCCUUCAAGAAGGUGGGGAGGCUCACAGACGCAGCAUCCACCCCUCGCAGGGAACCUCAGUUCCUGGCCUGUGGUCCCAUGAAGGACAUCAGGCUGGCAGAUUGGAGCACACCCCUUCUUUCUAACCCCUCUUGAAAGCUUCCUUGAAUCUGCCAGUCCUGCCCCCUGGAGCAGGAAGGAAAACAGAAGGCCUAGGACGCUAGAGGGGUCCCGAGCUUUCCGGAGCUCCAGCCACCAUCAGGUCUGACUGCUCAGGGACAGACACACCGACCACAUCCUGACCUCAGGAUGACCUGCGGAAGUACUUGGCAUUUCUUCUUAGCCAAAUCCCUUCAUUAAAAGACGGGUGAGGGU
rnacentral:lncRNA from 1 species